UACAGAGGGUGCGAGCGUUAAUCGGAAUUACUGGGCGUAAAGCGCGCGUAGGUGGUUUUGUAAGUCAGAUGUGAAAGCCCCGGGCUCAACCUGGGAACUGCAUUUGAGACUGCAUGACUAGAGUAUGGGAGAGGGCAGUGGAAUUUCAGGUGUAGCGGUGAAAUGCGUAGAUAUCUGAAGGAACAUCAGUGGCGAAAGCGACUGCCUGGCCCAAUACUGACGCUCAUGUGCGAAAGCGUGGGGAGCAAACAGG
rnacentral:rRNA from 1 species